rnacentral:lncRNA from 1 species
CUCUGACAGUGACCAACACCAGGCUUUCUGGUCAAACAGCCUGAGCUCCUGGGCGGAUUUUCCUGGUGUUUUCAGCAGAAGGAACAGCUGUCCCGGGAUUUGCUGGUAUUCCCAGGGAGCUGGAACUGAAUUGUUGGCCAAACUGCAGAUGAUUCGUUUAAGGGUCGGAAUGAGAGACAGACAGGGCUUUCGGAGAUAAAUAAUGAACUCCACGUGGGUACACCAUUGAGCCGUAUCCUCAAGGGUUAACAGCUUAAAGGUUAUUGGGGUUUCUGGCUACACGCUAAGAGUCCUGCUUCCUAAUUGAGUUUCAGGCUGAAGAGAAGAGAGAGACCUGCGGCUGUUUCCGCCCACUCGUCCCAGCACAGCCACCAGAGAACGCCGCGUGGUUUGUUGUUUGGACCCUCCCAGAGCCUCUUCCAGAUGCUGUUGGAAAAAAAGAAAAGAAAAGCUGGGCAGCCAGUGUCACAGCCCAGAUGCCAUCUCGGUCUAUCCGCGGAAAUGCAAGCACGCAGCGCCAAGCCCAACCCAGUAGGUGCCAGGCCCUGGGUGCAGGCUUCAGCUUCACGCCACAUCCUCUCUCUCUUUUCAGUCUCUGAGUGACUUGACUCAGCCAGGGAGAGGAGAUACCUACACAUCCGCAUGAAGGCGCGUGGGAGGAAGCCGAGAAAUGACGGAUGGCGCAGGGCCUACUGCAGCCGCACGUAGACUAGCUCCUUCUUUACGGGCAAAACCCCCUACUUGUCUGCAGUGGGAAAGGAGUCCGUUCAGGGCAAGCUCUGAUCGCUGAGCUAUGGAUGUAGAUGGUAACUAGGCGUCUGGAGGUCAUUACACACCAUAUUCGGAUGGUGGAAAUCAUUGCUUAUUUCAGGACACUAAAAUGGUCCAUUUUUAUGUAUUAAAGUUAUUAAGAAUGAACUGGCUGGGCCGGAGUUGUGGCUCACUCCUGUAAUCCCAAGACUUAAGGAGGCGGAGGCGGAGGCGGAGGCGGGAGGAUCGUUUGAGGCCAGGAGUUCAAGACCAGACUGGGCAACAUAGUGAGAUACACACCCCACCGCCACCACCACCCCAACAAAAAACUUAACAAUUAGCUGGGCUUGUGGGUAUGUGACUUAGUCCCAGCUACUCCGGAGGCUGAGGUGGGAGGAUCACUGGAGUCCAGGAGCUCCAGGCUGCAGUGAGCUAUGUGAUUACACCGCUGCACUCUAGGCUGGGCAACAGAGGGAGACUCAAAAAAAAAAAAAAAAGAGCAAAUGGCUGGCUCACUGUAAGGAAUUUUGGAAUUUUAUCUGGUUAAAACAGGCUCUUCCCGCCCACUUCCUCACCCGCCUGGCUGUGCCUGCCCCAGUCCCACCCUGAGUGGUGGCUUACCCAGGUGUGGCCGCCCUGUGGUCAGCUCAGGAGGCAUCUCCGGGUGGGAAGGUGACUUAGUUGUCUCACAGUAAAGUUACACUGGGCCUCAGUAGAUAGUCUUUGGUCCCCUGUAUCAGCAUCCCCAGAGAGCUGUGCAAAUGCACAUUCCUGGCCCUAUGGCACUCUAAGCUGGACUCUGGGAGUGGCAGCUCAGAAGCUUUAGUAUAAGCAAGCUCCCGGCUGUUUCUUGUUGCAGAUUAGGGUUUGAGAACCACUCCUCUUUCGCCACAUUGUAAACUCACUAAAUGCUCUCCUAGUGAGUAAAUAAAUAUAAUAGAAUCUAACUCCUGCAAAGGUAUUAACCAGUCUGUCUAACAAUGGUGGACAUUUUUGUAAAGAAACUCUUGAAGUUUUCAAAACUUAAGUUUAAAAUGGCAGCUCCUUGGUUUGUGGGGAGAGCUGUCAGAGUGGGAACCCUGUCCACAUCCCCCCAGAUAUUCACAUACACCCACUACUCAUAGACUCCCAAUCCCAUGGCGAAGAACACGAUCUUGUUGGUGUUAUUUUCUCACUGCCUACCAAGCUGCCCAGCAGGCACUUUACAGACUUUAUCUCCAUAUUCAUAUCAGCGUACAAAGUACAAGUCCCAAUUUCCAGACAAGGAAACUGGGGUUCAGAAAGAUUAAACAAUUUGCCUUCUUAUAUUGCUACUAAGGGCCAAGGUGCAGAUUCAAAUCCAUUCAAGUCCCAAAGCUUGCAUGAUCUUACCACAGUCACCAAAAUCUAUUUCAUAAGUUCAAAAUGGCAUCAGAGGUUCAUAAUCAGGACAGGCAAUGCCCUGCAGGUUUAUCUAGAACACCUUUCCCACUUUACAGAUAAGAGGCAAUGCAGUAUGAACCUGAGGCUAGCUGAUAUGAUUUGUCUGAGCUGCUUAGUUUUGUUUAAGAAACUUGAAUUAUUCAAUAUUGAAAAUCCUUGAGAUUUUACACUAAAACUCAGACUUUUUCUCUCUUAUAAAAGCAGAUUUUUGUAACCCCGAACCCCAUUCCUGAUUCUGUUCAUGGUUAACUGUAUAGGUUUUGAAAUCCACAGACGUGGGUUUGAGUCCUGG